GACGAACGCUGGCGGCGCGCCUAACACAUGCAAGUCGAACGGAGCUGAGAGAAGCUUGUUUUUCUUAGCUUAGUGGCGAACGGGUGAGUAACGCGUGAGUAACCUGCCCUGGAGUGGGGGACAACAGUUGGAAACGACUGCUAAUACCGCAUAAGCCCACGAUCCGGCAUCGGAUUGAGGGAAAAGGAUUUAUUCGCUUCAGGAUGGACUCGCGUCCAAUUAGCUAGUUGGUGAGGUAACGGCCCACCAAGGCGACGAUUGGUAGCCGGACUGAGAGGUUGAACGGCCACAUUGGGACUGAGACACGGCCCAGACUCCUACGGGAGGCAGCAGUGGGGGAUAUUGCACAAUGGGGGAAACCCUGAUGCAGCGACGCCGCGUGGAGGAAGAAGGUUUUCGGAUUGUAAACUCCUGUCGUUAGGGACGAUAAUGACGGUACCUAACAAGAAAGCACCGGCUAACUACGUG
rnacentral:rRNA from 1 species